GCUUUCCUUUAGCUCAAUUUGUAGAGCAUUGUGCUAAUAGCGCAAAAGUCAUGGGUUCAAAUCCCAGGGAAAGCA